UUUCGUUGAUCCCUGCAGGACAUGACUGCUAUCGGAUUGAUACUAAGCCAUGUGAGUCGUUGUAGCAAUACAAGGCAGACGGCUCAGUAACGCGUAGUCAACCUACCCUAUGGACGGGGAUAACCUCGGGAAACUGAGAAUAAUACCCGAUAGGCCAUUAUACCUGGAAUGGUUUAUGGCUCAAAUGAUUUAUCGCUGUAGGAUGGGACUGCGGUCUAUCAGCUUGUUGGUGAGGUAAUGGCCCACCAAGGCUAUAACAGAUACGGGCUCUGAGAGGAGAAGCCCGGAGAUGGGUACUGAGACACGGACCCAGGCCCUAUGGGGCGCAGCAGGCGAGAAAACUUUGCAAUGUGCGAAAGCACGACAAGGUUAAUCCGAGUGUUUUCUGCUAAAGAAAUCUUUUGUUAGUCCUAAAAACACUGAUGAAUAAGGGGUGGGCAAGUUCUGGUGUCAGCCGCCGCGGUAAAACCAGCACCUCAAGUGGUCAGGAGGAUUAUUGGGCCUAAAGCAUCCGUAGCCUGCUUUGUAAGUUUUCGGUUAAAUCCAUAUGCUCAACAUAUGGGCCGCCGGGAAUACUGCACAGCUAGGGAGUGGGAGAGGUAGACGGUACUCGGCAGGAAGGGGUAAAAUCCUUUGAUCUAUUGAUGACCACCAGUGGCGAAGGCGGUCUACCAGAACACGUCCGACGGUGAGGGAUGAAAGCUGGGGGAGCAAACCGGAUUAGAUACCCGGGUAGUCCCAGCUGUAAACUAUGCAAACUCAGUGAUGCAUUGGCUUGUGGCCAAUGCAGUGCUGCAGGGAAGCCGUUAAGUUUGCCGCCUGGGAAGUACGUACGCAAGUAUGAAACUUAAAGGAAUUGGCGGGGGAGCACCACAAGGGGUGAAGCCUGCGGUUCAAUUGGAUUCAACGCCGGA
rnacentral:rRNA from 1 species